rnacentral:rRNA from 1 species
AGAACGAACGCUGGCGGCAUGCCUAAUACAUGCAAGUCGAACGAAGGCUUCGGCCUUAGUGGCGCACGGGUGCGUAACGCGUGGGAAUCUGCCCCUUGGUUCGGAAUGACAGUUGGAAACGACUGCUAAUACCGGAUGAUGACGAAAGUCCAAAGAUUUAUCGCCAAGGGAUGAGCCCGCGUAGGAUUAGCUAGUUGGUGAGGUAAAGGCUCACCAAGGCGACGAUCCUUAGCUGGUCUGAGAGGAUGAUCAGCCACACU